rnacentral:rRNA from 1 species
AUGAACGCUAGCUACAGGCUUAACACAUGCAAGUCGAGGGGCAGCAGGAUCUAGCAAUAGAUUGCUGGCGACCGGCGCACGGGUGAGUAACACGUAUCCAACCUGCCGAUAACUCGGGGAUAGCCUUUCGAAAGAAAGAUUAAUACCCGAUGGCAUAAUUAGACCGCAUGGUUUGAUUAUUAAAGAAUUUCGGUUAUCGAUGGGGAUGCGUUCCAUUAGGCAGUUGGUGAGGUAACGGCUCACCAAACCUUCGAUGGAUAGGGGUUCUGAGAGGAAGGUCCCCCACAUUGGAACUGAGACACGGUCCAAACUCCUACGGGAGGCAGCAGUGAGGAAUAUUGGUCAAUGGACGAGAGUCUGAACCAGCCAAGUAGCGUGAAGGAUGACUGCCCUAUGGGUUGUAAACUUCUUUUAUAUGGGAAUAAAGUUUUCCACGUGUGGAAUUUUGUAUGUACCAUAUGAAUAAGGAUCGGCUAACUCCGUGCCAGCAGCCGCGGUAAUACGGAGGAUCCGAGCGUUAUCCGGAUUUAUUGGGUUUAAAGGGAGCGUAGGUGGACAGUUAAGUCAGUUGUGAAAGUUUGCGGCUCAACCGUAAAAUUGCAGUUGAUACUGGCUGUCUUGAGUACAGUAGAGGUGGGCGGAAUUCGUGGUGUAGCGGUGAAAUGCUUAGAUAUCACGAAGAACUCCGAUUGCGAAGGCAGCUCACUGGACUGCAACUGACACUGAUGCUCGAAAGUGUGGGUAUCAAACAGGAUUAGAUACCCUGGUAGUCCACACAGUAAACGAUGAAUACUCGCUGUUUGCGAUAUACAGUAAGCGGCCAAGCGAAAGCAUCAAGUAUUCCACUUGGGGAGUACGCCGGCAACGGUGAAACUCAAAG